UGUUUGUGCUUUGUUGCAUCUGCGUUGGAGAAAAAAGCCUUUUCUAAAGCUCUGACAUUAAGCUCAUCUGUCAUAUGGAGCUCGCAUAUAAUAGCUAGACGAUGCAAGCUACUGUUUUCCAGGGAAUAUGCAGUGUCCGCUUUCUUUUAAUUAUUAGGUUUUUUUAAUGAAGUCACGUAUCUCCAUUGCUCUAAAAGCAGCACAUCUCCAGAGAGCAUCAUCCCCUUCCAGCGAGACGCAGUGCAUGCAGAUGUGGAAGAAAACAAAGAGACAGAGAAAGCUCUCAGCCCAAGUGGGCAGGGAGUGAGGGAUCCAUUGGGGAGAUGCUGCUUUGAAAGGAGAUGAGAGGAAGGGACAGAAGGAAGGUUCAGGACAGCGAUGGGGUCCUAAUACAUCAAAAAUCUACCCUUGGAAGCAUACAUCCCUGCUCAAACAUUCGAAAUACCAGGAUUUCACCAUGGGGCAGAUCGAGUGCAACUUCGUAG
rnacentral:lncRNA from 1 species